GCUGAAUACAAAAGAAAGGAAUAAUAUAUCAUGAACUCAUCAAUUCCCAACUUUCUGCUAGCAAUAGAAGAAAUUCAACCAAUAAGAAAAUCCUCAGAAUCUGCAAGUUAGCCUGCAAAAACGAACUGGGUAACAACAUAGAAAUAGCAUUCUCUUAAUUUUCCUGACUUUACCAACAAAUUCUCCUUACAACAUAGGUGUUUACAUAACUAGAUGCCACAAAAAUUAGAAUUAGUGCAAUCCAACUAGCGGCCUCUAACACGUCCACGACCCCGUCCACGACCCCGACCACGGCCCAAAGGCCUCCCAGCAGUUGGCUUCUUGGGUUUGGCCCUAGGUGUCUCUUCAACCAGCAAAGUCUCAAGAUUCAAGCUGUCAGGAAGUAUAUAAUAUCGAAUAUUGUUUCCCCUCACACUGAGAUGAUCUAAAGUUACUGGAUUUUUCCCCUUUAGUGUUAAUUUCACAGUCUUCAGAUGAGUAUUCAUACUAAUAUCCACACCUGUAAUGGUACCGUGAACAACGGUUCCAUUCUUGAGCUCAAUUGACACAGUCUCGUUGUUCAACUUCAUCAAAAACCUUACAAGCUUCAUUGUGGACUAUGAAGGAGAAAUCUAGAGCUUGAAGAGGCACUGUGAAGGCUAAUCAAGAAAGCGGGGGAGGAGAGGAGGACG
rnacentral:misc_RNA from 1 species